rnacentral:rRNA from 1 species
UACACUCCUGCGGGAGGCAGCAGUGGGGAAUAUUGGACAAUGGGCGCAAGCCUGAUCCAGCCAUGCCGCGUGAGUGAUGAAGGCCCUAGGGUUGUAAAGCUCUUUCACCGGUGAAGAUAAUGACGGUAACCGGAGAAGAAGCCCCGGCUAACUUCGUGCCAGCAGCCGCGGUAAUACGAAGGGGGCUAGCGUUGUUCGGAUUUACUGGGCGUAAAGCGCACGUAGGCGGACUAUUAAGUCAGGGGUGGAAUCCCGGGGCUCAACCCCGGAACUGCCUUUGAUACUGGUAGUCUUGAGUUCGAGAGAGGUGAGUGGAAUUCCGAGUGUAGAGGUGAAAUUCGUAGAUAUUCGGAGGAACACCAGUGGCGAAGGCGGCUCACUGGCUCGAUACUGACGCUGAGGUGCGAAAGCGUGGGGAGCAAACAGGAUUAGAAACCCGGGUAGUCCCA